rnacentral:tRNA from 1 species
GCAUGGCUCAGUGGCUGGACAUCUGGUUAGCAUGCAGAAAGUCCUGGGUUCAAUCCCCAGCAUCUUCA